CACGUAGGCGGCUUUGCAAGUUAGAGGUGAAAGCCCGGAGCUUAACUCCGGAAUUGCCUUUAAAACUGCAUCGCUAGAAUUGUGGAGAGGUGAGUGGAAUUCCGAGUGUAGAGGUGAAAUUCGUAGAUAUUCGGAAGAACACCAGUGGCGAAGGCGACUCACUGGACACAUAUUGACGCUGAGGUGCGAAAGCGUGGGGAGCAAACG
rnacentral:rRNA from 1 species